CCUACGGGGUGCAGCAGUGAGGAAUAUUGGUCAAUGGACGAGAGUCUGAACCAGCCAAGUAGCGUGAAGGAUGACUGCCCUAUGGGUUGUAAACUUCUUUUAUAUGGGAAUAAAAUGUUCCACGUGUGGGAUUUUGUAUGUACCAUAUGAAUAAGGAUCGGCUAACUCCGUGCCAGCAGCCGCGGUAAUACGGAGGAUCCGAGCGUUAUCCGGAUUUAUUGGGUUUAAAGGGAGCGUAGGUGGAUUGUUAAGUCAGUUGUGAAAGUUUGCGGCUCAACCGUAAAAUUGCAGUUGAAACUGGCAGUCUUGAGUACAGUAGAGGUGGGCGGAAUUCGUGGUGUAGCGGUGAAAUGCUUAGAUAUCACGAAGAACUCCGAUUGCGAAGGCAGUUCACUGGACUGCAGCUGACACUGAGGCUCGAAAGUGUGGGUAUCAAACAGGAUUAGAUACCCGAGUAGUC
rnacentral:rRNA from 1 species